GACGAACGCUGGCGGCGUGCUUAACACAUGCAAGUCGAACGGAAAGGCCCUGCUUUUGUGGGGUGCUCGAGUGGCGAACGGGUGAGUAACACGUGAGUAACCUGCCCUUGACUUUGGGAUAACUUCAGGAAACUGGGGCUAAUACCGGAUAGGAGCUCCUGCUGCAUGGUGGGGGUUGGAAAGUUUCGGCGGUUGGGGAUGGACUCGCGGCUUAUCAGCUUGUUGGUGGGGUAGUGGCUUACCAAGGCUUUGACGGGUAGCCGGCCUGAGAGGGUGACCGGCCACAAUGGGACUGCGAUACGGCCCAGACUCCUACGGGAGGCAGCAGUGGGGAAUAUUGCACAAUGGGCGGAAGCCUGAUGCAGCAACGCCGCGUGCGGGAUGACGGCCUUCGGGUUGUGAACCGCUUUCGCCUGUGACGAAGCGUGAGUGACGGUAAUGGGUAAAGAAGCACCGGCUAACUACGUG
rnacentral:rRNA from 1 species